rnacentral:rRNA from 1 species
GUGAAAUGGUGCGGCUCAACCGUAGCACUGCAGUUGAAACUGGACGGCUUGAGUGCAGUUGAGGCAGGCGGAAUUCNNNNUGUAGCGGUGAAAUGCUUAGAUAUCACGAAGAACCCCGAUUGCGAAGGCAGCCUGCUAAGCUGCAACUGACGUUGAGGCUCGAAAGUGUGGGUAUCAAACAGGAUUAGAUACCCUGGUAGUCCACACGGUAAACGAUGGAUACUCGCCGUUGGCGAUAUACAGUCAGCGGCCAAGUGAAAACGUUAAGUAAUCCACCUGGGGAGUACGCCGGCAACGGUGAAACUCAAAGGAAUUGACGGGGGCCCGCACAAGCGGAGGAACAUGUGGUUUAAUUCGAUGAUACGCGAGGAACCUUACCCGGGUUUGAACGCAGUCCGACCGCCGAUGAAAGUCGGCUUCUAGCAAUAGCGGAUUGCGAGGUGCUGCAUGGUUGUCGUCAGCUCGUGCCGUGAGGUGUCGGCUUAAGUGCCAUAACGAGCGCAACCCUUGCCGUUAGUUACUAACAAGUUAUGUUGAGGACUCUAGCGGGACUGCCAGCGUAAGAUGCGAGGAAGGUGGGGAUGACGUCAAAUCAGCACGGCCCUUACGUCCGGGGCUACACACGUGUUACAAUGGGGGGUACAGAAGGCCGCUUCACGGCGACGUGUGGCCAAUCCUGAAAGCCCCUCCCAGUUCGGACUGGAGCCUGCAACCCGGCUCCACGAAGCUGGAUUCGCUAGUAAUCGCGCAUCAGCCAUGGCGCGGUGAAUACGUUCCCGGGCCUUGUACACACCGCCCGUCAAGCCAUGGGAGCCGGGGGUGCCUGAAGUACGUAACCGCGAGGAUCGUCCUAGGGUAAAACCGGUGACUGGGGCUAAGUCGUAACAAGGUAACCA